AGUCCCGUGGUCUAGUGGUUAAGAUUUCGCUCUUAUACCAUUCAGUCCUUUUCAUGAGGGCUAACGGUCAUAACAUGCGACUACCCGGGUUCAAACCCCGGCGGGACUA